rnacentral:misc_RNA from 1 species
UUAAGUUCAGCGGGUAUCCCUACCUGAUCCGAGGUCAACCAUAAAAAAUUUGGGGUUGUUGGCAAGACACACACCAAGACUCAGACGCGAGAAAAAAUACUACGCGUAAAGCUCGAUGGCACCGCCACUGAUUUUAAGGCAAGCCGGGUGACCGGCAGAGCCCAAGACCAGCAAGCUGGAGGGUUGAAAUGACGCUCGAA